AUACGUAGGUGGCGAGCGUUGUCCGGAAUUACUGGGUGUAAAGGGCGUGUAGGCGGGGGAGUAAGUCAGAUGUGAAAUACCACGGCUCAACCGUGGGGGUGCAUCUGAAACUAUUUCUCUUGAGUGCUGGAGAGGAAAGCGGAAUUCCUAGUGUAGCGGUGAAAUGCGUAGAUAUUAGGAGGAGCACCAGUGGCGAAGGCGGCUUUCUGGACAGCAACUGACGCUGAGGCGCGAAAGCGUGGGGAGCAAACAGGAUUAGAUACCCUGGUAGUCCACGCCGUAAACGAUGGAUACUAGGUGUAGGAGGUAUCGACCCCUUCUGUGCCGGAGUUAACACAAUAAGUAUCCCACCUGGGGAGUACGGCCGCAAGGCUGAA
rnacentral:rRNA from 1 species